UAUCCUACGGGACGCAGCAGUGGGGAAUAUUGGGCAAUGGGCGCAAGCCUGACCCAGCAAUGCCGCGUGAAGGAAGAAGGCUUUCGGGUUGUAAACUUCUUUGACAGGGGAAGAGCAGAAGACGGUACCCUGAAAACAAGCCACGGCUAACUACGUGCCAGCAGCCGCGGUAAUACGUAGGUGGCAAGCGUUGUCCGGAUUUACUGGGUGUAAAGGGAGCGUAGACGGAGGAGCAAGUCUGAUGUGAAAAUCCGGGGCCCAACCCCGGAACUGCAUUGGAAACUGUUUAUCUAGAGUGUCGGAGG
rnacentral:rRNA from 1 species